rnacentral:rRNA from 1 species
CACUUUGUCUUUAUGGCAAAUGUGAGAUGCAGUGUAUGGAAUGUCAAAUUUCUAGUAUGAGAAAUUAACGAUUUAAGUCCUUCUUAAAUGAGGCCAUUUACCCAUAGAGGGUGCCAGGCCCGUAUAACGUUAAUGAUUACUAGAUGGCAUUUCCAAAGAGUCGUGUUGCUUGAUAGUGCAGCACUAAGUUGGUGGUAAACUCCAUCUAAAACUAAAUAUAACCAUGAGACCGAUAGUAAACAAGUACCGUGAGGGAAAGUUGAAAAGAACUCUGAAUAGAGAGUUAAAUAGUACGUGAAACUGCUUAGAGGUUAAGCCCGAUGAACCUGAAUAUCCAAUAUAGAAAAUUCAUCAUUAUGAUUUUAAUAUUUUAAUAUUAUAAUAAUGGUGUGCAUUUUUUCUAUAGAGGACAUUGUAAUCUAUUAACAUAAUAAAUAUUUAUCAAAAGGUCAAUUGCAAUUGUUUAUUCCAAUUAUUUUGCUUGCAAAAUAACAUAGGGUAAAUGCUUUUGAUUUGAUAAAGUGUUGAUAGAUUUAUUAUAUAUAGUGCUUGAAUAUUUAUAUUCUAUAAUGGCAUAUUAAUUUAUAAUUUUUAUGUUUAUUAUAUGCACUUAUAUGAUUAACAAUGCGAAAGAUUCAGGAUACCUUCGGGACCCGUCUUGAAACACGGACCAAGGAGUCUAACAUAUUUGCAAGUUAUUGGGAAUAAAAACCUAAUAGCGAAAUUAACAUAACUAAUAUUGGGAUUAGUUUUUAGUUCUAUUAUUAAUAGUCUAUUAAUUCAAUCCCGGGGCGUUCUAUACAGUUAUGUAUAAUAAUAUUUAUAUUAUUUAUACCUCUAACUAGAGCGUACCUUGAGCAUAUAUGCUGUGACCCGAAAGAUGGUGAACUAUACUUGAUCAGGUUGAAGUCAGGGGAAACCCUGAUGGAAGACCGAAACAGUUCUGACGUGCAAAUCGAUUGUCAGAAUUGAGUAUAGGGGCGAAAGACCAAUCGAAC